GACGAACGCUGGCGGCGUGCUUAACACAUGCAAGUCGAACGAAGUGGCGAACGGGUGAGUAACGCGUAAUCAACCUGCCCUUCAGCGGGUGACAACAGUUGGAAACGUCUGCUAAUACCGCAUACUGAAGGAGGGGAUUCCGUCGGAUUAGCUAGUUGGAGGGGUAACGGCCCACCAAGGCUAUGAUCAGUAGGCGGUCUGGGAGGAGUAACGGGCACAUUGGGACUGAGACACGGCCCAGACUCCUACGGGAGGCAGCAGUGGGGAAUCUUCCGGAAUGGACGGAAGUCUGACGGGGCAACGCCGCGUGAGUGAUGACGGCCUUCGGGUUGUAAAGCUCUGGUAAUCGGGACGCGGUACCGGAAUAGAAAGCCACGGCUAACUACGUGCCAGCAGCCGCGGUAAUAC
rnacentral:rRNA from 1 species